UCCGGACAUCUCAUAGAAGUGGAAUCAUGCAAUGUGUCAUCUUUGGUGACUGGCCUCUUUCACUCAGCAUCAAGUUUUCAAGGUGCAGAAUAAGGUAGCUAUGGGCACCUCCUUCCAUAGACCCUCCAGGAGCAUCUGCUUCCAGUCCUGCCUGGGCACUGAACAUACUCCUUCCUCAGAUGGACUGGGUUCCUCUUCUCCUCGAAGUCCCUUCUGAAUUUCCAUUUUCCCAGUUGUGAAGGGUGUGAUUCCUAGAGCAAAGCCCUUACUUGAGAAAUAAUAGUGGUUUUGUUUCCCUACGGGAACUCUGACUGUUUCACCCCAUGUUCUGCCUCUUCCUUUUUUAAAAAUAAUUGUGGUUAAAUACAAAUAGCAUGAAAUGUAGUGUGUUAACCACUUUGACGUGUAUAAUUUAGUGGCAUUAAGUACAACUCAUCUUGUGCAACCAAUCUGCAGAACUAUUUUCAUCCUGCAAAACUGAAACUCUGUACCCAUUAACAAGAAAUCUCCACUCCUCCCAGCCCCCCACUCUUCCACUUUCCUCUCUCUAUGAGUUUGACUACUUCAGGUGCCUCGCAUACCUGGAAUCAGGCAGUAUUUGUCUUUUUGUGACUGGCUUGUUUCACUUAGCUUAACGUCCUCAAGGCUCGUCCACAGUAACAUGUGUCAGAAUUCUCUUUCUUUUUAGGGUUCAAUAAUAUUCCAUUGUGUGUAUUUGCUACAUUUUGUUUAUCCAUUCAUCCACGGAUGGACACAAGUUGUGUUCGCCUCUUGGCUGUUGUGAGUAGUGCUGCUCCUCUGUCCUU
rnacentral:lncRNA from 1 species